rnacentral:ncRNA from 1 species
CGGCCUGAGGUCGGACGAGGCUACCCGCUGAAUUUAAGCAUAUUACUAAGCGGAGGAAAAGAAACUAACGAGGAUUCCCUCAGUAACGGC